GAUCCCAAAAAAAAAAAAAAAAAAAAAAAGAAACUAAAUUAAUUAAAUUAAUUAAAUUAUAUAUAUAAUAAUUAAUUAAAACAAAAAAAAAAAACAAAAAAAAUAUAAAAAGAAAAGGGGGAGGCGCUCGGCAGCCCCCCCCCCAAAUCAGAAAAUCUCUCUCUCUCUCUCUCUUUUAUUUUCUCUUGAUUUCCUCUCGGAUUAUCUUCGAUUCCAAGCGAUCCGGCCGUUCGAUCGUUGAUCCGACUUCGCUUUCACCGUUAAAGUGCCCCCGAUCUACAAGGAGCCUAUAAGUGGGUGUGUAGUUCCACUAUACACUUACGCGUAGCAAGCAAAGCGAGACAUGAUGACGUAGUCGAUGGCUUAGCUCGACGAAUUCCAUGACGCCAGAUUUGAAUAUUGCGCGGGCCAAGGCUCAGAUUCUCAGGAUUUUGUUCGAUCUUCUCCCCAGACUCGGACUUGAGUCAUCAUUUCCCAGGCGAGUAGACAGGAUAUGUUAUGAUUACCUUAUAUUAUGCACGUAUAUACUGUUUUAUUCAUAAAUAUUAUAACCUUGUAUAAAUUUUUAUAUGCAUAACUCGUACAUGAUUUUUAUAUGCGGAUCAUAGAAAAAUACUCUUAAAUGUUUCUAAUUUGCAUGAAAUAUUUUCAUCCUACUGGGAGAGACAUAAACUGAAAGAUACCCUAAUUGAUUUCUUGUUUUGAGAAUGUGAAUUAUUGAAUGAUAUGGUGUAUUUUAGGCACCACAUGAAAUGAUAAAUGAUUAUGACUUGUGCAUAAAUUAGGGUAUUAUUUGCAUUAUUAUUAGAGGACUAUCUAGUAGAUUCCCUGGUGACUCACAGCAGGAAAAGAUCAUGGUACUGUGAGGCUUGGCAUGCCAAGGCCAUGAGAGACACGGAUAGUAUGUUUCAGCACUGCUAUCACGUGGGCCUUUAUGAUGAUAUUGUGUGAUGAUGAUGUAUGUGCCGAUAUAUAUACUUGUGUGCAUGUGUAUAUAGGCGUUAGGCCAGUUUCUACUAGUGUGUCCUCAGAAUCAGUGCAUGCAUCUCAUACAAGAGUAUAGGGGACUUGGGUGGUUAGGGAACAACUUAUGGGGGUUGUCUUUAAGCACCUAUUUUUCCUACACUAUGUUUUCCUUUGAAAUCUCAAAUUAUUUAACUUAUGGUUUAUAAUUCCACUGUUUAUACUGUUAUUACGUUAUUAUAC